rnacentral:sRNA from 1 species
ACUUCACCCCAUCUCCGUGACCCUGCAGAGAUAUCUUGUAAAUGACUUGGUUCUUCGAGAUUACAUGAUUCCUGCCAAGACACUGGUGCAAGUGGCCAUCUAUGCUUUGGGCCGAGAGCCCACCUUCUUCUUCGACCCGGAAAAUUUUGACCCAACCCGAUGGCUGAGCAAAGACAAGAACGUCACCUACUUCCGGAACUUGGGCUUUGGCUGGGGUGUGCGGCAGUGUCUGGGACGGCGGAUCGCUGAGCUAGAGAUGACCAUCUUCCUCAUCAAUGUAAGUCAAGCUGGGGACAUCUAGGCACCCUGGGCUGGCCCUGGCCCUAAUGAAGGCACCAACCUUCCUCCUCCUAUCUCUGUCCAGAGCCCGAGGAUGUCAGUGCUGGGGCGCAUCUACCUCCAGUUACUUGCUCUCGCUCUCUCCCACAAUUCUCUGCUGCCCCCUCUUUCGGGCUCAACCACUUAUCACCCACUGAUGCCCCUGGCCAUCCAUUCCCCAUGGUGGUGAUGGGAUGGGAUAGGACUGAGAUGCUGGAGAACUUCAGAGUUGAAAUCCAACACCUCAGCGAUGUGGGCACCACAUUCAACCUCAUUCUGAUGCCUGAAAAGCCCAUCUCCUUCACCUUCUGGCCCUUUAACCAGGAAGCAACCCAGCAGUGAUCAGAGAGGAUGGCCUGCAGCCACAUGGGAGGAAGGCCCAGGGGUGGGGCCCAUGGGGUCUCUGCAUCUUCAGUCGUCUGUCCGAAGUCCUGCUCCUUUCUGCCCAGCCUGCUGAGCAGGUAGAAUGGGUUCUCAGUGGUCACCUUCCUCAGCUCAGCUGGGCCACUCCUCUUCACCCACCCCAUGGAGACA